rnacentral:rRNA from 1 species
UGGGAAUUUUGGACAAUUGGGCGAAAGCCUGAUCCAGCAAUGCCGCGUGUGUGAAGAAGGCCUUCGGGUUGUAAAGCACUUUUGUCCGGAAAGAAAUCCUUGGCUCUAAUACAGUCGGGGGAUGACGGUACCGGAAGAAUAAGCACCGGCUAACUACGUGCCAGCAGCCGCGGUAAUACGUAGGGUGCAAGCGUUAAUCGGAAUUACUGGGCGUAAAGCGUGCGCAGGCGGUUUGCUAAGACCGAUGUGAAAUCCCCGGGCUCAACCUGGGAACUGCAUUGGUGACUGGCAGGCUAGAGUAUGGCAGAGGGGGGUAGAAUUCCACGUGUAGCAGUGAAAUGCGUAGAGAUGUGGAGGAAUACCGAUGGCGAAGGCAGCCCCCUGGGCCAAUACUGACGCUCAUGCACGAAAGCGUGGGGAGCAAACAGGAUUAGAUACCCUGGUAGUCCACGCCCUAAACGAUGUCAACUAGUUGUUGGGGAUUCAUUUCCUUAGUAACGUAGCUAACGCGUGAAGUUGACCGCCUGGGGAGUACGGUCGCAAGAUUAAAACUCAAAUGGAAUUGACGGGGUCAUAGCUGUUU